ensembl:lncRNA
UUCAUCCACUACAGUCUCAUUAAACAGACAGCAUUUUAAAGGUGAUUGUGUAGCAGUGUUGGAUGAGGCCCCAUACAUUGGCCCAUUCCGCAGUGAGCAGCUCACGCAGGGAGUGGUGGCUGUGUUGUGUGGUGUGCAGAAAGAGCUGGGAAUCUGGGAGCUGAGUGCAUGAAGUUCUCUGAAACAUCUCCAGCUUUGCCUUCCAAAGAUUCACAAGAGAUUGAGGCAGAGUGGCAGUGAAAAAUGUUGAUGUAUCAAUAGCCUGGGACCCCACUUGCUCCACUGCCCUGAGAGAUUGCAACAGGAUGCUCCCCUGCUCUUAGUCCAGGACUGGUUUCAAGUCUCCAGAUGCUGCAGGGACCAGUUGGGUGUUGCAUGAGUGGGUCCCAAAUGUGCUGAUGUCUGCUAGUCCCAAAACACACAAGUGCAGUUAAAACCAUCCUUGGCACAUAACUUCAGACAAUAGAUUUCUCACAGAUUUUCUUGGAAGUUGCUGUGAAGUUUGUGGCAAAUGGAGCUGGUUCUCAUAACAUCAGCUAGCCUUUGAACAGACACCUGAAGGCAAGGAGGUAGCUCGGUGCAUGCCAUUUGUGCAGGGCUGGCAAGUUCUGUGUUCCCUUGAUAAAUGCACUGGAAGGGUGUGUGAUAAUGUACUGUUGCUACUCAGCAAAGGAUGCUUCCUCAAGUUACACUGAUAGAGAAAAUUCUGCCCUAUUAGUGACUUAAUCUAUAUCGUAAAUAGCAAGGAAUGUGGCUACAGAAGAAACUUUAUAUAUUCAGAGUAUUGUUGUAUGUUAUGCGAAUGUUUUCAUUGGCAGAUGAGUGCAGUAGCCAAAUAAAGAGGGAACGAGGCUCUAGCU